rfam:Emmonsia parva TAMH 139 supercont1.207, whole genome shotgun sequence.
GCGUCGGUGGUCCAAUGGUUAAGAUUCGACAUUCCCAUGAUCACUGCGGAAUAUAUCGAUAGUGUCAGCUUCUGACUAUGUCGAGACCCGGGUUCGAUUCCCGGCCGACGCA